rnacentral:rRNA from 1 species
AGCAGUAGCCGCGGUAAUACGGAGGGAGCUAGCGUUGUUCGGAAUUACUGGGCGUAAAGCGCGCGUAGGCGGUUACUCAAGUCAGAGGUGAAAGCCCGGGGCUCAACCCCGGAACGGCCUUUGAAACUAGGUAACUAGAAUCUUGGAGAGGUCAGUGGAAUUCCGAGUGUAGAGGUGAAAUUCGUAGAUAUUCGGAAGAACACCAGUGGCGAAGGCGACUGACUGGACAAGUAUUGACGCUGAGGUGCGAAAGCGUGGGGAGCAAACAGGAUUAGAUACCCCAGUAGUCCCUGUCUCUUAUAC